rnacentral:rRNA from 1 species
UACGAAGGGGGCUAGCGUUGUUCGGAAUUACUGGGCGUAAAGCGCACGUAGGCGGAUUGUUAAGUCGAGGGUGAAAUCCCAGGGCUCAACCCUGGAACUGCCUUCGAUACUGGCAUUCUUGAGUCCGAGAGAGGUGAGUGGAAUUCCGAGUGUAGAGGUGAAAUUCGUAGAUAUUGGAAGAACACCAGUGGCGAAGGCGGCUCACUGGCUCGGAACUGACGCUGAGGUGCGAAAGCGUGGGGAGCAACAG